rnacentral:siRNA from 1 species
GAUAGUGUGAUUGUUUCUGCUGC